rnacentral:rRNA from 1 species
UCGAGAAUUUUUCUCAAUGGGGGAAACCCUGAAGGAGCGACGCCGCGUGGAGGAUGAAGGUUUUCGGAUUGUAAACUCCUGUCAUCCGGGAGCAAUGCUUACGGUUUAACUGACUGUAAGUUGAUAGUACCGGAAGAGGAAGGGACGGCUAACUCUGUGCCAGCAGCCGCGGUAAUACAGAGGUCCCGAGCGUUGUUCGGAUUCAUUGGGCGUAAAGGGUGCGUAGGCGGCGAGCUAAGUUUGGUGUGAAAUCCUGGGGCUUAACCUCAGAAUUGCACUGAAUACUGGUUUGCUAGAGGACUGGAGAGGAGAUUGGAAUUCACGGUGUAGCAGUGAAAUGCGUAGAUAUCGUGAGGAAGACCAGUGGCGAAAGCGAAUCUCUGGACAGAUCCUGACGCUGAUGCACGAAGGCUAGGGGAGCAAACGG